UACGUAGGGAGCAAGCGUUGUUCGGAUUUACUGGGCGUAAAGGGCGCGUAGGCGGCCUUCUAAGUCGAACGUGAAAUCCCCGGGCUCAACCCGGGAACUGCGUCCGAGACUGGGAGGCUAGAAUCCGGGAGAGGGAUGUGGAAUUCCAGGUGUAGCGGUGAAAUGCGUAGAUAUCUGGAGGAACAUCGGUGGCGAAGGCGGCAUCCUGGACCGGUAUUGACGCUGAGGCGCGAAAGCCAGGGGAGCAAACGGG
rnacentral:rRNA from 1 species